AUUUCCCUCACCUUCAUCAGGAUGGAGCUGCCAAGGGUAUUAAGUGAAUUUUUGCCAGGAGCAUCUGUGAAUUAUAGAAAGUCACUGGGUAUUGAUAUCCCACCACGGACAGCUCCGGGCCGCUCAGUGCUGCUGUUCCGUCUCUUGGGUCAACUUGGGUUGUCACCGUCCCCAAAGGAAAGGAAAUAAAAGGAGGGAGAUCCAUGCUCUACCCAUCUCUGUGCCGGCCCCAGCAGUGGGAAUAUUGUCCAGGUCCAACCACAGCCUCCAUUUGUUGCAUUGUUUCUUUACCACUGGGAACCUCAGCGAUGAUAAAUACUUGAAGGAGCUUGGAGUUCUGAUCCGAUCCCGCAGGCUGACCCGUGGUCUACAGAACACCUGAGCAAGCAGAGCCCUGGGCAGCAGCAAGGGCUGCUAUCACCUUCCCUCCAUGGAAGAUGCAAGAGGGCAUUUAGAAGCUCCACAGCACCACUCAGUCUGUUAUCCUCGUGCUGCAAAUGAAUGGAAAGAUAAUCUAUUGUGCACAAAAGAAGCAAACACAAAGCCAUUGUUAAGUGCCAGGAUGGAAGGGAUGUUUGCACAGUGCGUGGCCUGGCUGAGGUUUUAUCCUUCUUGCUCAAGUCCUUGUAUUAUUUCAGUAAUGAACAGAGCAGAAAAGGCUUCGUUCUGCUCUUUAAAAGCAGUGCAACAGAAUUUCCAACUGUGAGGCUCGAACAGAAGCAUCUGAUGAGUUAAAAAUACAACACACAAAAAAACAAAGGGAAAGGCAAUGCCUCCAGUGGAACUAGCUGUGCUACCACCUGGAAAUGUUGGAUACACCUGUGAAGGCUCCAGGAAUUCAUAGGACACAAAGGCAAGAAGUGUGUGUUCUGUUUGCACUAGGAAAAGAAAACUCAAGGCAAAUUACAAGGAGAGAGCUGUAACCAACCCCAUACUGCCUGGGGCUCUGCAGCUGAGCUCUGGCUGUGCCUCUGGGUCAUCCCAGACUCCUGCAGCAAUGGGAAUGGACUCAUCUCUUCACCAAAACAAGUGGCAGAGAGCUGAGGAACAUUAUCUACAUUGUUUUAAUGAGGAAGUUCCCCAUGGCUUGUGCUGGAGGAAGGUCCUGCAACCACACACUGUGCUCUGUUCCAGCUCCCUUCCUAUUCAUCUUCUGCACCUCCACAGUUCUUCAGCUGCUCCUUUAUUUCUGGUUUAUAAUGCAAGAGGCUGGCUCCCACCAUUCCUGAUGAGCACUGCUGGUUGCUGACCUGUUCUUGCCUGGUAUCCCCCAAGCAAUAGGGGAUGGAUUGAAGUCUGGCAGAGUCUGUCAGACUUCCUGCUUCUGAGUCCUCCACCUGCUUCUGAGCUGGGACGUGAUGUGCUGCAGGGAAUGAGUUGUUUCCUAAAACUUAGUAAAAAGCAAGCCAUCUUUUCAGAUCCAUACAUUCAUCUUGCUUUUCUUUUCUAUUUCCUCAGUCCUUUGGGUGCCUUUUGGACACCUAAUGCAACCCAAUACAAUUAGGGGGCAUAAACACAUGGUCAGCCAAGGAGUGAAGCAAAGAACCACACAUGGGGGCAAUUUGGAAGACCCAAAUUAAGUCCCCUUGCUGUGCUUUGGCCAAACACACCACCUCUAUUUGGUGUCUGUGUUGGGAGUGAAUCAAGGCAGCUCCAACCAAGGUGUUCCUGGAUAUCAGUAGUACAUGGGCACGCAUAGGAGUGUUUUUCAAGAUGGAGAAAAAAAAAAGAAACAGCCUGUAAAUACUUGUAACCCCAGGGCAACAGAACACAUAUCCUGGCAACGCAUGUGGGUUUUACUCUUCCAUGACAAUUUGCUUUGCUAUUCAUGAAAAAAGAUGUUGGUGCUGUUACCUUAGCAACUGCCGCAUCACGUUACGGCAAUGCUCUGCCCGAGGUGCAUGAAGCCCUGCCUUAAAGGAGCACAUCUCUCUCUCCUGUGCCUCUCCCUAUGGAAAUAGAGCCCAGCUGAGCUGGGAUCCUCACCAGGAAAGCCUCAGAAGUUGGUAAUGAAGCAGGAGGAAAUAUGUUCCUUUAGAUGUUCUGUUUGGAGCUGUGUCUGAUUGUGGCUUAGAGCCACUUUGGACAAUAUGCUGUAUACACUUGAGCAAAAGGGAACUAUUUUCCCAAAGUAUUUUCACUUUUUAAGGGAUGAAAAAGGGCAAUAAGGGACACUGGCAGGCUGGAUGUAUAGUGUGGAACAUCUUUGUCUAGGUGCCUCCACCCAUUGUGUCCACAUUAUCAUCUUCUACCAGACUGGGCCAAUUUCCCAAGAAAUGACAGAUUUUGCCUUCCUUUGUGUUGACUUCAAUAGAGAAAUUCCCCUUUGCAGGUGGAAGGGUUGCACCCCCUUCUCUCAGCCCCAUGGCAGCAUCUCCAGACCUCACAGCUCUGAGUCCUUUCCAACUUCCUGCAGGUGUUUUCUGAAUCAAGGCAAGACACCAUGGGAAUUAUAAGACCCAACUUACAUUGCUGUGUCACCAUGGGCAGUUUUUCAUUUCUUUGUUUCUGUGAUUUACACCUGGGAGGGAAGCUCCAUGGACAGGGCCUUAUCCAUGGGAGCCUUGGGCUCUGUGACAGCGUUCUUGGCAUUAAUUACAAAAGGCUGUAAAGGAGGAAUCAAUUAAAACCAAUGACAGAGUUUAUGCUUUUGUCAUUUACCCAGGUGCAAGCCAUAAUUGACCUAUGAAGGUCAAUGGAGCUGGAUGUGUAUAAAAGCAAAGGAGAGUGUGAAAACAGGCCCAUUUUGAGGGAUGUGCUGUCUUGGAGAAGGGGUAAUUUCACAGGCAAACCUGGUACCACCCCUCUAUCCCUUCUCUGUCCCCUGAUAUUGGGUGAGAGCCCAUUCCCACACAGGGCAUCCUGCUGCAAUCCCAGCUGGGGGAAGAUAAUAUCUAUGGCAAAAAAAAAGCCUUCUAAGGCUUAAGAGGAGGAUGUGUUCAGACCUCAUUGCACACUUGAUGCUUCUGGCCUCAGUGCAGUGUUCUUGAUAAAGUCAAGGGGAGCUUAAUGCUUUUUAAAGGUCCUCUGUUUUUAUGGGCUAUAAAGCAUUGACCUUAAAGGGAGAUGUUGAGGGAAGUAUAUUAAAGAGAGGCCUAUGGGGGACAGCCAGGCACACCAGCUUUCCUGCAGCUGCUCUCUGAGCUGCUUUUUUUUCUGAGCUCUCUCUAAACUAAUCUGAUUUUCUUCCCAUGGAGAUGCAGGGUGCUGUUGAGUCCUACUGCAGCCACAACUAAUGGGCACUCACUGAUGGCAACCUACUGCCUUUGUUCAGUUUGAUCUCAGUAGCCUGGUCCUGCUGAGUCCCAGCUUAGCAUCACUGGGCUGCAAAUGCUGUGCCUGCCACCAUUUGGAUUGAUGGGGAACACAGGGAGCCCACCUCCCACUCCAACAGUGACCACCACCAUAGAACUGCAGCACAAGUGCUUCACAAUGAGCACUCUAGGGAGGAAAGUCGUCUUGUGAGACCUCUGCUAAUUGGAGGCCAGUGGCAAGUGAUUUCUAUUAAGGCACUCGUUAAGGGAAGACAUUCUGCAUCAUGUGAAAAAGGGGUGAUGGUGCUGUCAGCUUGUGCUGCCAGCUACUGUGGGACUUAACAGUAUCCAUGAGGUCCUGGGAAAGCUGUGAGUUGGAGAGCAUUUGGAGUGUGUGCAAUGGGGGAAAUUGGGUGUAUCAUCCCCAUGGGUACUGGGAAGGGCAUGGGCACACACAGUGUGGGGUAGGCAUUGCCUCUGGUCCCCUUCCCUCUGGUACACCAACAGAGCCUUUGUGGGGUAUUGGGAGCAAAAGAUGAGGGUUACCCUCUUUCUCUUGCUGCCCUGAACCAAUUUGGGUGUGAACCUUCCAGCAGAGGCUGCUCGGAGCCCUCUGGGAGGGUUUGCUCUGGGCAGGACCUUUACAUUGGGAUUUUGGCACUUGCAGCAUGAGACCCUCCAUCCCCCAGCACCCUCGGGUCGACCACAGCCCAAGUGGAGCGGAGGUGGAGCCGAGGCCCGGCCGGCACGGAGGGGGUUAAACCCCCACCCAUCCCCGCGGCCCUCGGCUCUCCACCACCGCCGCUCCCCGGACUCCUUUUCCCCCUCUCCCUUCACCGUGUUUAGUUAAAUUUCCCCCGCCUUAGUUGAUGUCACAUCCUGUUCCACAGCCAUCCCUGCUAGUAGCCAGCCCUACCGAUUCCUUCUUUUUUUUUUUUUUUUUAAAUCCCCGUCCUCUCCUCAUCACCCCCCCCCCCUUUUCAAGGCAAACUUUUGGCAAUAGCGGAGAUAAUCGUUCCGUGCUCCGCUGAAUAUCUCCUCUCAAAUGCCUUCCGAUCGGGGGAGCCAUUAAAUUAAAACAGAAAGAAAGCAAAUUGCCAGAGAGCCGGCAAGGAUUGAAACCGGGAUCCCAAUAAAUAUGCAAAGUGAAGGCUGCUCUGCUAAGCA
rnacentral:lncRNA from 1 species